GCGAUUAGACAACACGAAAACACGCCAAGCUCGGGGGUUUGCCCGGCGGCGUCCUCGUCGCGCUAUCCUUCUGUGCCUCCGUUGCGUAUCUCACGUUCUCGCCGGCGACGGGCGAGGGCCAAGGGGGCGCUACACUUCCGCAGGCACGCGGGCCUACUCUGCUACACAGCGCCGCCUCCAGGCGCCUCGCUCGUCCGUCCUCGCUGCCGCCUGGCUUGGUCCUUCUCACCGCGGCUGGGCGCACACCCCUACUCCACUACUACUUUUUUCGGGGGUGCAUGGACUGUGGAGUGAAGACCAGGGUUGGCCUCUACAACUAAAAGACCCCGACGCCGCCGCCUGGACGCGGACCAUGGCUGGCCACCUCGAGCCUCGGCGGGAACCCUAGGUCCCGCUCUAGGGGUGGACGGCGAGGACCGGCGUCGGCGUCAGCGGGGUGGAGGCGGAUGUAACGCUCGACCAGACCCCGAUGUUGCAAUCCAGACCAAUCGCCACGAUCCGGCCUUCUCUACAAUAGCCCCAGCAGACCCAGUUCUUCACCCUCCGCAUUGCAAACCAGAUCCGCUCCCACACAUGUCAAGUCUCCAGAUCGCCUUCCCCAAUGCCCCACUUGUAUCAUCUGCGCCCCACCUAGAUCACGUGCACUGGUCUAAGGGAUGCAACGGUGAAGGCUCUUGCUGUUGACGAAUCAGGGCCGACGCGCAGCAACGGAUUCUGCUCACGGAUAGAUAGUGAACCAUGCUAAUAGGCUGUCGAUUUGUCAAUGUCUGGCAUUGAUUCUCGUCCUCCGCUAAAGUCGCCUUGCACCGGCCCAUUCUUGAACGCCUCCCCUACAGGCCCUACUUAGCAUGCCAGAGGUACGGCUCCGUCUGACUGUUCCGUCCAUCCACCGCCACGGUCGUUUCUCUCCUGUCCAGAUCCCUCUCUUGCAAGGUUUCUCUAAGAGUGGGCAAACAAGAUGAUGGGCGGGUUUCUCUCUAGGGUCCUCCUGUAAGCGCUCUCUUGCUCCUAAUCUUGUAACGUGUUCUCCCAAUCUUGUAGAGAGUGUUUUGAGUUGUUGUGCUCUUUUUAGUGACCUGCUUCUGUGCUUCGUCAAUAACUAGAUUUGAUCCUCUUCAUCUCUGUGUUAAUGAAUUAUCUCCCUUUUUGAUGUAAGCACAUCUAAAGUGUCAGUCUGUUGAAGGAUACUUUGAUACAGAAAUCAUGCAUCUUUAAAUUGUCAGCUUUUCUUUCUAAUUUGUCGCACUUUAAAAAGCAAAACCUACAAUAUCAGAUUCAACGAUACUUUAUAAGUCAGUGAGGUGAUGUUCCUCAUAUGUGCAUACUGCCUAGAUUUGUAGCUGUGAGCGCAGGAAUGGCACUGACAUGUCUCAUUGGCGACUUUGUGCAGUUCGUUAUGAGGCAUUGGCAAGUGUGCAGGGAUGCCUUGGAUGAGCUUGUGCGUCCUAUGGUGUAGGAUAUUUAUGAGUUAAUAUCUUAGUUGUGUGAUAGAAGUCAAGGUUACUGAAUGAAUUGGAAAAUAUAAAUUAUAAUGGUGGUAGCUUCAAAUCCUAAAUGGUCACCCCAUGGAGUGGGAAAUAGGUUUUUCCCUAAUACUGUACUCUGAUUCUGGCAUGCUAGGAGCAAACUAUAGAUUUGAUAGCUUUUUUGUGUGUUUCGAAACAAACUAAGAUUUCUCAUGAUAUCAUCACCAAUGCAGAUUAUAUAAUCAAAAUAUGUUCGACACAUUAGUCUUAAUCCAUAUUUUCUUUUCUUGUCAAUCUGCGAUGAUGAGUAAAUAACUCUACAGUACCAUGACUUUCUACCAUAAGCAGUGGUGCUUGCUUAUGGUAGCUGAUAACUGAUAUCUCCACAAUGUACCAUGGACCUAGCAAACCCGUAGAAGCAUACAUGUGCAAGUGAUGCAAGAGCCCAUAUUAUCCAGGAGGUGGCCUCGAUCCUACCAUCCAGGAGCAUCUAUUACGGGAUUCAAAGUCAAGCACAAUGAAAGAACGAGGGACCCAAAAAUUUUACCUCUCCAACAGGGAAGGCAAAAAGCCCCGGAGCACGGAGCUGCACGGCCGACAGAUUUCAUCAUCCUCACCAGGCACGACCAGCAUGCGUAAACCAGCCGCCUCGCUAAGGCUGAGGCCGCCGCCAUCGCUGUGUCCGCGUCGACGCUGUCCAAGGCCACCGUGUGCAAGGCGUCUUGCGUCGCCGCCCCGACCCUGAAGGUUACCGAGGCUGAGCUCGUGAGCCGCCGCGAGGAGGAGUGCCUCCACCUUGAGCGAAUGCCGAGCUCGAGCGGAUCUCACGGCUGCCUGUCAGAGGAUGCGCGCGAAAUCCCGGGCGCCCUCGUGGACGCUCGCGGAUGCUCCCGCAAGCGGACUCUCGUGGAUCCGUUGACGGAGGUCGCCCUCGCGAUACAACGCUCGUGUGCGGAGUUCGCCCGAUCAAGUUUAUCGCCGGUCCGAUGGUGGUCCCGAUGGAGCUUGCCCUCGUGGUGCUAGGUUCGUUGGCGAUCGGUGUUCACGGCCACCAUCGGCGGGUAGCAGAGAAUUAGGUCGAGGAGAGAGAGAGAGAGAGAUGCAUAUUUGGGUUCCAACUCCACCGCGAUGCAAAUUGCGUCUUAGGUUUGCGUAGUCUGUUGGACCCUCACUUCUUCACCUAAAGCCACAUUGAGGAUGUAUAUUUGGUUUUGGGUACCGUGAUAGGUAAGCGGUUGGAGACAAUCUAUAGUUUGGCUAUUUAUUUCUCUCGACUCUCGUAUUAUUGAUAAAUAUACCACCAUUUACUAGGAA